rnacentral:rRNA from 1 species
UACGUAGGUGGCAAGCGUUGUCCGGAAUUAUUGGGCGUAAAGCGCGCGUAGGUGGGAUAGUAAGUCUCAUUUAAAAGAUCGGGGCUCAACCCCGUUAAGGGUGAGAAACUGCUAUUCUUGAGUGCAGGAGAGGAAAGCGGAAUUCCCAGUGUAGCGGUGAAAUGCGUAGAUAUUGGGAGGAACACCAGUGGCGAAGGCGGCUUUCUGGACUGUGUCUGACACUGAGGCGCGAAAGCCAGGGGAGC